CCCUUAGAUGUUCUGGGCCGCACGCGCGCUACACUGACGAAUGCAACGAGCUUAUAACCUUGGCCGAAAGGUCUGGGUAAUCUCCAAAUUUCGUCGUGAUGGGGAUAGAUUAUUGCAAUUAUUAAUCUUCAACGAGGAAUUCCUAGUAAACGCAAGUCAUCAGCUUGCAUUGAUUACGUCCCUGCCCUUUGUACACACCGCCCGUCGCACCUACCGAUUGAAUGGUCCGGUGAAAUCCUCGGAUCGAGCCGUGGGGCAACUCCGGUUCGAGAAGUUGAUUAAACCUUACCAUUUAGAGGAAGGUGAANUCGUAACA
rnacentral:rRNA from 1 species